GAUUAUGCCUCAGGACGAACGCUGGCGGCACGCUUAACACAUGCAAGUCGAACGAGAGAAGAGAAGCUUGCUUUUCUGAUCUAGUGGCGGACGGGUGAGUAACACGUGAGCAAUCUGCCUUUCAGAGGGGGAUACCGAUUGGAAACGAUCGUUAAUACCGCAUAACAUAAUUGAACCGCAUGAUUUGAUUAUCAAAGAUUUAUCGCUGAAAGAUGAGCUCGCGU
rnacentral:rRNA from 1 species